ensembl:lncRNA
GUCCAUUUUUUUUUUAAGAUUUUAUUUAUUUAUGUGACAGAGAGACAGCCAGCGAGAGAGGGAACACAAGCAGAGGGAGUGGGAGAGGAAGAAGCAGGCUCCCAGCGGAGGAGCCCGAUGUGGGACUCGAUCCCAGAACGCCGGGAUCACGCCCUGAGCCAAAGGCAGACGCUUAACGACUGCGCCACCCAGGCGCCCCUAAAGUCCAUUUUCUUUUCUCCUUCACGGUCAGUUCUCUCCAGGAUAUUUAGGAAGGAGACAAGUCUGGCAUGCUGCCUGCUCUGGAGUCAUCUGCUCGCUCAUCACUCCUGCCCGGCAUGCUCCUCUCGCAGCACCUGCCUCACCCCACUUCCAGAUGUGGAUGUGGCAGCAGUGGUCUCCACGUGCUGGUGUGGACUGUGGCAUCCUUGGGGCAGUGCGCGAAUCACUGUUGCAUCAACUCCUGCUCUGAGGAAAUCACUGCGCAGGAAGGAAUCAAUUGCGGCAGGACAUGCACACCCACACACACCACUCACACCACACGCAUACUCCCGCACACUCACAUACAUGUAUUCACACACACACCCACACACACACCACUCACACCACACGCAUACUCCCGCACACUCACUAACACAUAUUCACACACACACACCCACACACACCACUCACACCACACGCAUACUCCCGCACACUCACAUACACAUAUUCACACACACACACCACUCACAACACACGCAUACUCCGCACACACACAUACACGUAUUCACACACACACACCCACACACACCACUCAUACCAUACGCAUACUCCGCACACACACAUACACGUAUUCACACACACACACCCACACACACCACUCAUACCAUACGCAUACUCCGCACACACACAUACACGUAUUCACACACACACACCCACACACACCACUCAUACCAUACGCAUACUCCGCACACACACAUACAUGUAUGCACACACACACACCCCACUCACACUACACGCAUACUCCCGCACACACACAUACACAUAUUCACACACACACACACACACACACCACUCACACCACACGCAUACUCCGCACACACACAUACAUGUAUUCACACACACACACACCACUCACACCACACGCAUACUCCCGCACACUCACAUAUACAUAUUCACACACACACCACUCAUACCACAUGCAUACUCCCGCAUACACAUAUACACAUAUUCACACACACACACCACUCAUACCACAUGCAUACUCCCGCACACACACAUACACCACACACACAUAUUCACACAUAUACACACACACCACAAUACUCCCACAGACAUACACAAACCACACCGUACAUGUACAUAUGACAUACCCCCACACACCAUACACACACACACACACACACACUCCGCUCCCAAGGACACACAUCAAUUCUCAGAGAAAAUACUAUCUAUAGCAACGUUUUCCGAACUGUCAUCAAUGAACAUAUUCUCAAGUGUCCAAGAGGACAUUCUUCUCCAUCUAAAAACAAAAGGGGACUUAGUUUAGAAACGCUGGACAGGAAGAAGUAGAACUGUUUCUCUAAUUGUCCCAUAAUUUCUCAAACCUGCCUGUCCCACAAUAGUGUUAUUUUAUAGCUGUCACAGCCUCAUC